GAGUUUGAUCCUGGCUCAGAAUGAACGCUGGCGGCGUGCUUAACACAUGCAAGUCGCACGAGAACGCUUCAGCUUGCUGGAGCUAGUAAAGUGGCGCACGGGUGAGUAACGCGUGGGUAAUCUACCUCCGAAUUGGGGAUAACACUGCGAAAGCGGUGCUAAUACCGAAUGACAUCUCAGGGACCUCGGUCUCUAAGAUCAAAGGUGGCCUCUACAUGUAAGCUACUGUUUGGAGAUGAGCCCGCGUACCAUUAGCUAGUUGGUAGGGCAAUGGCCUACCAAGGCUUCGAUGGUUAGCUGGUCUGAGAGGAUGAUCAGCCACACUGGAACUGACACACGGUCCAGACUCCUACGGGAGGCAGCAGUGAGGAAUUUUGCGCAAUGGGGGAAACCCUGACGCAGCAACGCCGCGUGAGUGAUGAAGGCUUUCGGGUCGUAAAGCUCUGUCAAGUGGGAAGAAUAUGCCCUGUGAUAAUACCAUGGGGCACUGACGGUACCACUGAAGGAAGCACCGGCUAACUCCGUGCCAGCAGCCGCGGUAAUACGGGGGGUGCAAGCGUUAUUCGGAAUCAUUGGGCGUAAAGGGCGCGUAGGCGGCCCCUUAAGUCAGAUGUGAAAGCCCUCAGCUUAACUGAGGAAGUGCAUUUGAAACUA
rnacentral:rRNA from 1 species